GGGCGCAUAGCUCAGAUGGUUAGAGCGUUGCAUUCACAUUGCAAAGGUCGCUGGUUCAAAUCCAGCUGCGCCCA
rnacentral:tRNA from 1 species